AUUUGAAAACAGUUUUGUGGGUUGGAAGUCAUUAGGAAUUUUAGUACUAAGCAGGAGCUGAUAUUAGGAAACCCAACGGUUUGCAAAACAGGCUGAGAAACCAAGUGAAGUAAGAUGCAAGCUGACAACAUGAAAAAUUCUUAAUGAGGUUCAAGAAAGUUUUGCAUGAAUAAGUCACAGUGAAGGAUCUGCCUCAAAUAAGGAGGUAAGUAUCAGUAAAAAAUGGGUAAAAUCAGACAAAAGCUUUGGACCAGAAACUCAUCUGAAUCCCCUUGCCUUGGAAAGUCAGGGUACUGUGUAACUGAAGAUGUGAUCAACUUUGUAAAACAUACAAUGUC
ensembl:lncRNA